rnacentral:lncRNA from 1 species
GCUCAGCAACAAAAGUAACACCAUUUAUUCUAUCCCUUACAACAUUCAGUACGCACAAUCAUCAAAUCAAUCACCAACUACAGUUAUAAUUCAACUCAAUUCCAUCCAUAUCAGAGAAAACAAUAUCAAUUACAACUUCAAACACUCGCAACAAAGCCCAAAGACAUUCGCAGCCUUAACCUGAAUUCAAUAAUCCAAUGGAAGCACUAACACAUCAUCAAACUCACUCCAAAUUUCACAACCUCAACCAUCAUCACAAUAAUCCCAAACCAAACACAAAUCUAACUCAGCUCAUCAAUUAACAUUACGACAACUUUUCAAUACUUAACUCAUCAAAUUUCAAUUUAACAAGUAUUAUCAAAUGAAUCACCAUUCACAGCCACAUUUAAUUCCAGUCACAACUCAAAAUAUUCAC